rnacentral:rRNA from 1 species
UACGAAGGGGGCUAGCGUUGCUCGGAAUGACUGGGCGUAAAGGGCGCGUAGGCGGCCUGAAAGGUCAGCUGUGAAAACUCGAGGCUCAACCUCGAGACGUCGGUUGAAACCAUCUGGCUAGAGUCCGGAAGAGGAGAGUGGAAUUCCCGGUGUAGCGGUGAAAUGCGCAGAUAUCGGGAAGAACACCCGUGGCGAAGGCGGCUCUCUGGGACGGUACUGACGCUGAGACGCGAAAGCGUGGGGAGCGAA